rnacentral:tmRNA from 1 species
ACCCUUUAAAUUCGGAUAGCUUUUGAUUAUAUAUCACCUGCUGCUUGCAGCUAUGGCGAUAAACGGCGCAUUAAUUAGGUAUUACGGACCCGGGGGCGGUACCCGGCACCUCCACCAGGAAAGGCCAUUUGGCUACAUCCUACGU